GACGAACGCUGGCGGUGUGCUUAACACAUGCAAGUCGAACGAAGCUUGAUUACGGAUUCUUCGGAUGAAGUAUGAUAUGACUGAGUGGCGGACGGGUGAGUAACGCGUGAGUAACCUGCCCUUCAGAGGGGGAUAGCGUUUGGAAACGAACGGUAAUACCGCAUAAUGUAUUUUGACCGCAUGAUCGAAAUACCAAAGAUUUAUCGCUGAAGGAUGGACUCGCGUCUGAUUAGGUAGUUGGUGGGGUAACGGCCUACCAAGCCGACGAUCAGUAGCCGGACUGAGAGGUUGAUCGGCCACAUUGGGACUGAGACACGGCCCAGACUCCUACGGGAGGCAGCAGUGGGGAAUAUUGCACAAUGGGCGCAAGCCUGAUGCAGCAACGCCGCGUGAAGGAAGACGGUUUUCGGAUUGUAAACUUCUGUUCUUAGUGAAGAAUAAUGACGGUAGCUAAGGAGCAAGCCACGGCUAACUACGUG
rnacentral:rRNA from 1 species